rnacentral:rRNA from 1 species
ACGGGUGAGUAACACGUGGGAACGUACCCUCUGCAGGGGGAUAACUGACCGAAAGGACAGCUAAUACCGCAUAAGACCGAGAGGAGAAAGGUGCAACAGCAUCGGCAGAGGAGCGGCCCGCGGACCAUCAGCUAGUUGGUGGGGUAAGAGCCUACCAAGGCAACGACGGAUAGCCGGCGUGAGAGCGUGGCCGGCCACAAGGACACUGAGAUACGGGUCCUACUGGCUACGGGAGGCAGCAGUGCGGAAUUUUAGAUAAUGGAGGCAACUCUGAUCUAGCGACGCCGCGUGCAGGAAGAAGGUCUUCGGAUUGUAAACUGCUGUGGUAAGGGAAAAAUGCCAUGUAGAGUGGAAAGCUACAUGGAGGGAUGGUACUUUACUAGAAAGCCCCGGCUAACUACGUGCCAGCAGCCGCGGUAAUACGUAGGGGGCGAGCGUUACCCGGAAUCACUGGGCGUAAAGGGAGCGUAGGUGGCCUGACAUGUCGACUGUGAAAACCCGGAGCUCAACUCCGGACUUGCAGUUGAAACUGCCAGGCUUGAGGACGGUAGAGGAAGACGGAACUGCCAGUGUAGGGGUAAAAUCCUUAGAUAUUGGCAGGAACGCCGGUGACGAAGGUGGUUUUCUGGGCCGGUUCUGACACUGAUGCUCGAAAGCCAGGGGAGCGAACGGGAUUAGAUACCCCGGUAGUCCUGGCCCUAAACGAUGUUCACUAGGUGUGGGGAGCGGAAAGCUUUCCGUGCUAAAGCUAACGCGAUAAGUGAACCGCCUGGGGAGUACGCCCGCAAGGGUGAAACUCAAAGGAAUUGACGGGGGCCCGCACAAGCGGUGGAGCGUGUGGUUUAAUUCGAUGCUAAGCGAAGGACCUUACCAAGGUUUGACAUGCUGAUAGUAGUGAAUUGAAAGAGGAACGACCACACUUUGUGUGGAGUCAGCACAGGUGGUGCACGGCCGUCGUCAGCUCCUGCCGUGAGGUGUUGGGUUAAGUCCCCGCAACGAGCGCAACCCCUGCUCUUAGUUGCCAGCGGUAAGGCCGGGCACUCUAGGAGGACCGCCGCCGACGAGGCGGAGGAAGGGGGGGAUGACGUCAGGUAUCGUGCCCCUUAUAUCUUGGGCGACACACGCGCUACAAUGGGUUGGACAGAAGGGACCGAGACAGCGAUGUGGAGGAAAUCCUCAAACCAACCCCCAGUUCAGAUUGCAGGCUGCAACCCGC